UUUACUGUAACACAGACACACCGAGGUUUACUGUAACACAGACACACCGAGGUUUACUGUAACACAGACACACCGAGGUUUACUGUAACACAGACACACCGAGGUUUACUGUAACACAGAGACACACCGAGGUUUACUGUAACACAGAGACACACCGAGGUUUACUGUAACACAGAGACACACCGAGGUUUACUGUAACACAGAGACACACCGAGGUUUACUGUAACACAGAGACACACCGAGGUUUACUGUAACACAGACACACACUGCAGUUUACUGUAACACAGACACACACUGCAGUUUACUGUAACACAGACACACACUGCAGUGUACUGUAACACAGACACACACUGCAGUGUACUGUAACACAGACACACACUGCAGUGUACUGUAACACAGACACACACUGCAGUGUACUGUAACACAGACACACACUGCAGUUUACUGUAACACAGACACACACUGCAGUUUACUGUAACACAGACACACACUGCAGUUUACUGUAACACAGACACACACUGCAGUUUACUGUAACACAGACACACACUGCAGUUUACUGUAACACAGACACACACUGCAGUUUACUGUAACACAGACACACACUGCAGUUUACUGUAACACAGACACACACUGCAGUUUACUGUAACACAGACACACACUGCAGUUUACUGUAACACAGACACACACUGCAGUUUACUGUAACACAGACACACACUGCAGUUUACUGUAACACAGACACACACUGCAGUUUACUGUAACACAGACACACACUGCAGUUUACUGUAACACAGACACACACUGCAGUUUACUGUAACACAGACACACACUGCAGUUUACUGUAACACAGACACACACUGCAGUUUACUGUAACACAGACACACACUGCAGUUUACUGUAACACAGAGACACACACUGCAGUUUACUGUAACACAGAGACACACACUGCAGUUUACUGUAACACAGAGACACACUGCAGUUUACUGUAACACAGACACACACUGCAGUUUACUGUAACACAGACACACACUGCAGUUUACUGUAACACAGACACACACUGCAGUUUACUGUAACACAGACACACACUGCAGUUUACUGUAACACAGAGACACACACUGCAGUUUACUGUAACACAGACACACACUGCAGUUUACUGUAACACAGACACACACUGCAGUUUACUGUAACACAGACACACACUGCAGUUUACUGUAACACAGACACACACUGCAGUUUACUGUAACACAGACACACCGAGGUUUACUGUAACACAGACACACCGAGGUUUACUGUAACACAGACACACCGAGGUUUACUGUAACAGACACACCGAGGUUUACUGUAACAGACACACCGAGGUUUACUGUAACACAGACACACCGAGGUUUACUGUAACACAGACACACCGAGGUUUACUGUAACACAGACACACCGAGGUUUACUGUAACACAGAGACACACCGAGGUUUACUGUAACACAGAGACACACCGAGGUUUACUGUAACACAGAGACACACCGAGGUUUACUGUAACACAGAGACACACCGAGGUUUACUGUAACACAGAGACACACCGAGGUUUACUGUAACACAGAGACACACCGAGGUUUACUGUAACACAGAGACACACCGAGGUUUACUGUAACACAGAGACACACCGAGGUUUACUGUAACACAGAGACACACCGAGGUUUACUGUAACACAGAGACACACCGAGGUUUACUGUAACAGACACACCGAGGUUUACUGUAACAGACACACCGAGGUUUACUGUAACAGACACACCGAGGUUUACUGUAACAGACACACCGAGGUUUACUGUAACAGACACACCGAGGUUUACUGUAACAGAGACACACCGAGGUUUACUGUAACACAGAGACACACCGAGGUUUACUGUAACACAGAGACACACCGAGGUUUACUGUAACACAGAGACACACCGAGGUUUACUGUAACACAGAGACACACCGAGGUUUACUGUAACACAGAGACACACCGAGGUUUACUGUAACACAGAGACACACCGAGGUUUACUGUAACACAGAGACACACCGAGGUUUACUGUAACACAGAGACACACCGAGGUUUACUGUAACACAGAGACACACCGAGGUUUACUGUAACACAGAGACACACCGAGGUUUACUGUAACACAGAGACACACCGAGGUUUACUGUAACACAGAGACACACCGAGGUUUACUGUAACACAGAGACACACCGAGGUUUACUGUAACACAGAGACACACCGAGGUUUACUGUAACAGACACACCGAGGUUUACUGUAACAGACACACCGAGGUUUACUGUAACAGACACACCGAGGUUUACUGUAACAGACACACCGAGGUUUACUGUAACACAGACACACCGAGGUUUACUGUAACACA